rnacentral:lncRNA from 1 species
CCCAGAUGUCAUCGCUAAAUCAAAGACACGGGCAUUUAAAAGAACAUAUCAUGGUUGAAUUUCCCCAGGAAGUCAGGUGUGAAGAUGUAAUUUGUUUCAGCAAAUAAACGUGGUGUGUGCUGCUCCCACACAGAAGACUCCAAGAGCCUGUGUGCUAUCAGCCUCACUCUCUUCUCAUCAGCCCACACCCCUGUGAGAUCAACAAGAAGCAGAGCCCUGUGCCUGCUGAGAUAAUCUAACAGCGUGAAUGAGAAACAAACAUUUAUUGUUUUAAACAGCUGUCAACGAGGGCAGCCUGUUACUGCAGCACAACAGAGCCUAUCCUGACCAAUACAGAAAUGUUUCAGAUAAAAUACAAGCUACUCGCUGAGAAGAAUGUGUGUUCUCUAGCCCAGUGUUCCCCAAAAUUGGUUCCAAAGAACACUAGCUCCAUGAGACAUUCGUGGUCAAAAAAAUUUAGAGAAAUUGCCUGUUUCAUCUGUCCCCUUAAGGGCCUUAUGUUUUAGGCACUAAGAAUCCUGCAAUAAAGAAACAGUUUCACUUCAUCUAACCUAAAGUUUUCCUAUAUGAACUGUCCAUGAAAGGUGCAUUUACUGGCAUCCUUAGUAACAGUUUCAGAAUCUAGUCCAUUCAGAAAAGUAACUGACUAAUAACAAAUUCAGAGAUUCCAAUGGCCUAUUAUUGAUUAAAAUACUAUUAACUUCAUGGUAUAGCUAUUUUGAAAAACAAUCUGGCAUUUCCUAUAAGGAAAUUAAACACACAUUCACCUUAUGAUCCAGCAAUUCUACUCCUAAAUGUUAAUAUUUAUCCAAGAGAAAUGGAAACAUAUUAACACAAAAACCUUCAUGUCAAUGUUUACUGUGGCUUUAUCAAUGACUGCCA